UCUUUCAGCUCUGACUGCUCUUGGGCAGGCUUCGUCUUCAUCAUCACAAAAGACGUUGAACCCUUGGAAUCCAACAGACUUUGUUUCAGAUUCCAGCACGCGUUUUUCUGCUGUGGCCUGAGUGGUUACUUUGGCUUCCCCCGUCUCAUGUAUGAAACGAGCCGGUGAUAAUCCUGGUCACAGGAUUUUGCGUUCUGGUUAAGAAACCACAGCGACGCCACCACAUAACGGACGCUCAGCGCACAUCUCUUUUAGAUGCUGGCCUGUCAGUGGGAUGGCAGAAACUAUUCAGAUGUGGUGACGAUUCUGCUUUGGGGACUGCUUCCCAAGCGGGUGCAUCCUGCCGGAUUUUAACACUGCUGGGCAUUGUGAGUGGUGGCAAGAUGAGG
rnacentral:lncRNA from 1 species